rnacentral:rRNA from 1 species
GACGAACCGUGCGAACGUUAUUCGGAUUCACUGGGCUUAAAGCGCGUGUAGGCGGGCCGGCACGUCGGAUGCUGAAAGCCCCCGGCUCAACCAGGGAACGGGCACCGAUACGACCGGCCUGGAGGGGGGUAGGGGGAGCCGGAACUUCCGGUGGAGCGGUGAAAUGCGUUGAGAUCGGAAGGAACGCCCGUGGCGAAAGCGGGCUCCUGGACCCCACCUGACGCUGAGACGCGAAAGCCAGGGGAGCAAACGGG